CUACGGGGUGCUGCUGAGAAUUUUUUACAAUGCGCGAAAGCGUGAUAGAGCGAGCCAGAGUGCUUUUCCGUAUUGGAAAAGCUUUUGUAUGAUGUAAAAAGUCAUACGAAUAAGGACUGGGAGAGACUGGUGCCAGCCGCCGCGGUAAUACCAGCGGUCCAAGUCGCAGCCACUUUUAUUGGGUCUAAAACAUCCGUAGCUUGUUUUGUAAGUCUCUAGUGAAAUCUGGCAUCUUAAAUGUCGGGCUUGCUAGAGAUACUGCUUGGCUAGAGACCGGGAGACGUAAGAAGUACGAUUUGGGUAGCGGUAAAAUGCGUUGAUCCUAAUUGGACUAACAAUAGCGAAGGCAUCUUACGAGAACGGAUCUGACAGUGAGGGAUGAAGGCUAGGGGCGCAAAACGGAUUAGAUACCCGGGUAGUC
rnacentral:rRNA from 1 species